rnacentral:rRNA from 1 species
AUUGAACGCUGGCGGCAUGCCUUACACAUGCAAGUCGAACGGCAGCACGGGUGCUUGCACCUGGUGGCGAGUGGCGAACGGGUGAGUAAUACAUCGGAACGUACCUUAUCGUGGGGGAUAACGCAGCGAAAGCUGUGCUAAUACCGCAUACGCCCUGAGGGGGAAAGCGGGGGAUCGCAAGACCCCGCGCGAUUAGAGCGGCCGAUGCCUGAUUAGCUUGUUGGUGGGGUAAAAGCCCACCAAGGCGACGAUCAGUAGCUGGCCUGAGAGGACGAUCAGCCACACUGGGACUGAGACACGGCCCAGACUCCUACGGGAGGCAGCAGUGGGGAAUUUUGGACAAUGGGGGCAACCCUGAUCCAGCAAUGCCGCGUGAGUGAAGAAGGCCUUCGGGUUGUAAAGCUCUUUUGUCAGGGAAGAAACACCGGCUCUAACACAGUCUGGGAGUGACGGUACCUGAAGAAUAAGCACCGGCUAACUACGUGCCAGCCGCCGCAGUAA